UGGGGAAUAUUGCACAAUGGGCGCAAGCCUGAUGCAGCCAUGCCGCGUGUAUGAAGAAGGCCUUCGGGUUGUAAAGUACUUUCAGUCGGGAGGAAGGUGGUAAGGUUAAUAACCUUAUCAAUUGACGUUACCGACAGAAGAAGCACCGGCUAACUCCGUGCCAGCAGCCGCGGUAAUACGGAGGGUGCAAGCGUUAAUCGGAAUUACUGGGCGUAAAGCGCACGCAGGCGGUUGAUUGAGUCAGAUGUGAAAUCCCCGGGCUUAACCCGGGAAUUGCAUCUGAUACUGGUCAGCUAGAGUCUUGUAGAGGGGGGUAGAAUUCCAUGUGUAGCGGUGAAAUGCGUAGAGAUGUGGGGGAAUACCGGUGGCGAAGGCGGCCCCCUGGGCAAAGACUGACGCUCAGGUGCGAAAGCGUGGGGAGCAAACAGG
rnacentral:rRNA from 1 species